rnacentral:rRNA from 1 species
AUUAAAAACCAAUGCCCUUCGGGGCUCUCUGGUGAUUCAUAAUAACUUCUCGAAUCGCACGGCCUUGCGCCGGCGAUGGUUCAUUCAAAUUUCUGCCCUAUCAACUUUCGACGGCUGGGUCUUGGCCAGCCGUGGUGACAACGGGUAACGGAGGGUUAGGGCUCGACCCCGGAGAAGGAGCCUGAGAAACGGCUACUACAUCCAAGGAAGGCAGCAGGCGCGCAAAUUACCCAAUCCCGACACGGGGAGGUAGUGACAAUAAAUACUGAUACAGGGCUCUUUCGGGUCUUGUAAUUGGAAUGAGUACAAUUUAAAUCCCUUAACGAGGAACAAUUGGAGGGCAAGUCUGGUGCCAGCAGCCGCGGUAAUUCCAGCUCCAAUAGCGUAUAUUAAAGUUGUUGAGGUUAAAAAGCUCGUAGUUGAACCUUGGGCCUAGCCGGCCGGUCCGCCUCACCGCGUGCACUGGCUCGGCUGGGUCUUUCCUUCUGGAGACCGCAUGCCCUUCACUGGGUGUGUC